rnacentral:rRNA from 1 species
AGCGAACGCUGGCGGCAGGCUUAACACAUGCAAGUCGAGCGGGCGUAGCAAUACGUCAGCGGCAGACGGGUGAGUAACGCGUGGGAACAUACCUUUUGGUUCGGAACAACACAGGGAAACUUGUGCUAAUACCGGAUAAGCCCUUACGGGGAAAGAUUUAUCGCCGAAAGAUUGGCCCGCGUCUGAUUAGCUAGUUGGUGAGGUAAUGGCUCACCAAGGCGACGAUCAGUAGCNGGUCUGAGAGGAUGAUCAGCCACACUGGGACUGAGACACGGCCCAGACUCCUACGGGAGGCAGCAGUGGGGAAUUUUGGA